AGAGUUUGAUCCUGGCUCAGGAUGAACGCUGGCGGCGUGCUUAACACAUGCAAGUCGAACGAAGCUGCUUAAAGGAAGUCUUCGGAUGGAAUUUAGGUAGACUUAGUGGCGGACGGGUGAGUAACGCGUGGAUAACCUGCCUUAUACAGGGGGAUAACGGAGAGAAAUUUCCGCUAAGACCGCAUAAGACCACAGCACCGCAUGGCGCAGGGGUAAAAUAUUUAUAGGUAUAAGAUGGAUCCGCGUCCGAUUAGCUAGUUGGUGAGGUAAAGGCCCACCAAGGCGACGAUCGGUAGCCGGCCUGAGAGGGUGAACGGCCACAUUGGGACUGAGACACGGCCCAAACUCCUACGGGAGGCAGCAGUGGGGAAUAUUGGACAAUGGGGGAAACCCUGAUCCAGCGACGCCGCGUGAGUGAAGAAGUAUUUCGGUAUGUAAAGCUCUAUCAGCAGGGAAGAAAAUGACGGUACCUGACUAAGAAGCCCCGGCUAACUACGUGCCAGCAGCCGCGGUAAUACGUAGGGGGCAAGCGUUAUCCGGAUUUACUGGGUGUAAAGGGAGCGCAGACGGCAAUGCAAGUCUGAAGUGAAAGGCGUGGGCUCAACCCAUGAACUGCUUUGGAAACUGUAUAGCUUGAGUGUCGGAGGGGUAAGCGGAAUUCCUAGUGUAGCGGUGAAAUGCGUAGAUAUUAGGAGGAACACCGGAGGCGAAGGCGGCUUACUGGACGACAACUGACGUUGAGGCUCGAAGGCGUGGGGAGCAAACAGGAUUAGAUACCCUGGUAGUCCACGCAGUAAACGAUGAAUACUUGGUGUCGGUGAGGUAAACUCAUCGGUGCCGCAAGCUAACGCAUUAAGUAUUCCACCUGGGGAGUACGUUCGCAGAUGAAACUCAAGGAAUUGACGGGGACCCGCACUAGCGGUGGAGCAUGUGGUUAAUUCGAAGCAACGCGAAAACCU
rnacentral:rRNA from 1 species